UGAGGAAUAUUGGUCAAUGGGCGAGAGCCUGAACCAGCCAAGUAGCGUGCAGGAUGACGGCCCUAUGGGUUGUAAACUGCUUUUAUAUGGGAAUAAAGUGAGGGACGUGUCCCUUAUUGCAUGUACCAUACGAAUAAGGACCGGCUAAUUCCGUGCCAGCAGCCGCGGUAAUACGGAAGGUCCAGGCGUUAUCCGGAUUUAUUGGGUUUAAAGGGAGCGUAGGCUGUUUGUUAAGCGUGUUGUGAAAUGUAGGAGCUCAACUUCUAGAUUGCAGCGCGAACUGUCAGACUUGAGUGCGCACAACGUAGGCGGAAUUCAUGGUGUAGCGGUGAAAUGCUUAGAUAUCAUGAAGAACUCCGAUUGCGAAGGCAGCUUACGGGAGCGCAACUGACGCUGAAGCUCGAAGGUGCGGGUAUCGAACAGG
rnacentral:rRNA from 1 species